AUGAACGCUGGCAGCGUGCCUAAUCCCUGCCAGUCGAGCGAACAGAUAAGGAGCUUGCUCCUUUGACGUUAGCGGCGGACGGGUGAGUAACACGUGGGUAACCUACCUAUAAGACUGGGAUAACUUCGGGAAACCGGAGCUAAUACCGGAUAACAUUUGGAACCGCAUGGUUCUAAAGUGAAAGAUGGUUUUGCUAUCACUUAUAGAUGGACCCGCGCCGUAUUAGCUAGUUGGUAAGGUAACGGCUUACCAAGGCGACGAUACGUAGCCGACCUGAGAGGGUGAUCGGCCACACUGGAACUGGGACACGGUCCAGACUCCUACGGGAGGCAGCAGUAGGGAAUCUUCCGCAAAGGGCGAAAGCCUGACGGAGCAACGCCGCGUGAGUGAUGAAGGGUUUCGGCUCGUAAAACUCUGUUAUUAGGGAAGAACAAACGUGUAAGUAACUGUGCACGUCUUGACGGUACCUAAUCAGAAAGCCACGGCUAACUACGUG
rnacentral:rRNA from 1 species